rnacentral:lncRNA from 1 species
AUGCCUACUUCAGAAAGAGUAUUUCUGCAAUACAGUAGUACCAAGUGGCAGAACUCAUUAGUUCUUAGAAAGAGAUUGAUGCAGUUUUAUUCAUUCCUUGCAGUAUGGCAGGGUAAACCAUUCCAAGAAACACAUAUAUUUUUCACAAACAAGCAUCUUUGGGGGGGGGGGGGGGAAAAAGGAAUAGGGGCCAACCAAGGACAAGAUGGAUGGAUGGUGUCCUUGAAGUGACUGGCUUGACCUUGAAGGAGCUGGGGGUGGCCACGGCUGACAGGGAGCUCUGGCAUGGACUGGUCCAUGAGGUCACGAAAAGUCGGAAGUGACUGAACAUUUCAAUAUCCAAAAGAGUGAAACUACUCCCUGAUAGCAGUGUUCAUUGAUGGUGGGUGAGUGUGUGCAUAUGAAUGAGAAAGGGACAGGAAGGGAGAUGUUUGGGUAAAUGCAUCUUCAGGUAAUUAUUUAUUUUGCGACCUUGCUCACCACAGAACUGCAAGAAUGGUUUAUGAUCAUUCUCUGUUUUGUUCUUCCCUUAUGGUUUAUGAGGGGAAGGAAUUCAUCAGAGGAGUCAGAAAUAAUAUAUACUAUCUCAUCACAUUAGAGCAUGGAUCCACUUAAAAUCUGGUUUCAGUCUCCUGUAGAAUCCUGUGUUUUGUAAUUGAGGACCAGGACAUGUCCAACCUAAAUUACAAACCCCAGAAUUCUGCAGUAGAUAGAAACCAGAUUUAAAGUGGAUUAAUGCUCUAGUAUGAUGAGGUCUUUAUAGUACUAUUUUAUGUUGUUUGGGUUCUCUUAAUACGAGUAGCACAAAAAAAGCAAAGGAAAAAAUGACUGGUACAAAAUUGCUUCCAUCUUAGACACUAGUUUAUUGUAUAACAAAAACAAACAUCCCAAGCAUAAUUGUGACUCAUAUCCUCAGAGUUCCAAUUCCCACGUUAUUUUCACUUAAUUUGAAAGCAGCACCUUUUGUUUAUUGCUCAAAGACCAAAAGCAGAAUCGGCUUGCCUCUGUCCUAUCACCUUGAAAUCCUGCAUCAGAUCCAAAACCUGGUAGAAAUAUUGUGAAACAAAUGCUUUAAAAAAAAGCUUUACAAAGGUGAAAUUUGCCAUCAUUGCUCUCCCUGUCUCUCUCUUGUUAGCUAUCAUAUUUUAAUAUUAUGUGCUCAGCAGUAUCCUUUCUCCUUAAAGGAUAUCCUUUAAGGCUAUCCUUAACAGCCUUCCAAAUUAAACU